GAGUCUCCGGAUACAGAAAAACCUGCGUCGGGUACGCGCAGAAAGUGGAAGCGCGAGAACGAGGUGUGGAAGAGAUGGUCCGAAUCAUUUGAGUAGUCCUGUUGCAAUCAUAUGCUUUAUCUCUGUAUAUAUAACCAUCUCCCGAAGCUUCCAUUUCAAGUGAAAACCAUACACGUCUCCUUCCCCAGCACAAAUCCCCUCGCCCCUGCAUCUAAAGCAUUGCUUUCAUAGCAAGCCUUGCCUUGCCUUCCAAUCAGUUGUCUCUCUCUCUCUCUCUCUCUCAUUUCCAUGACAUGAUCGGCCUAAAUUCUCCGCUUAAACCCACCAAUUUGGGUGUGAAACGCUGCACAAUUCCUAAACGAAAAUCGAGCAAGUUGCCCUGCUAUAAUAUAGGGUUUCUGUCGAAACCUGGAGUGGAGUACACCCUCCCUGUGGACAGAAUUAAGAUGUAUUUGCUUAGAAGAAUGGGCGGAGGGUGCUUCAAUGGACGUCCGACGAAAGGGCAGAAGGUGGAGAUUGAGACUGUUAGUGGCGGCGAGGAUGUUCUCGACGUGGCCGCGGCUGAGGCGAGGGUGGUGCCGGAGCAUCUUGUAGUGAUGGUUAAUGGGAUCAUUGGGAGUGCUGCGGAUUGGAGAUAUGCUGCAGAGCAGUUUGUUAAAAAGCUUCCUGAUAAAGUUAUAGUGCACCGCAGUGAAUGCAACUACUCAAGAUUAACUUUUGAUGGUGUUGAUUUGAUGGGUGAGAGAUUAGCUGAUGAGGUGCGGGCUGUUGUUAAACGUAGGCCUGAAGUGCGAAAAAUCUCUUUUGUGGCUCAUUCUUUGGGUGGCCUUGUUGCAAGAUAUGCUAUAGGGAGGCUGUACGAACAUAAUCUUAAAGUGAAAGCCUCAGGUCUUAUUAGGAAUUGCUUAGGUGAAGAUGAUUCAAAUCAUUUGACACAACUCCUUGAGCAGCCUUUUGAUGCUAGUAUCGCUGGGUUGGAACCCAUGAACUUCAUAACAUUUGCAACACCACAUCUCGGUUCAGGAGGACAUAAGCAGCUUCCAAUGCUUUGUGGUCUUCCUUUUUUGGAGAGAAGUGCAUCUCAAACUGCACACUGGAUUGUUGGGAGGUCAGGGAAGCAUCUCUUCCUCACUGACAACGAUGAAGGGAGGCCUCCUCUCCUCCUAAGAAUGGUUAAUGACUCUGAUGACCUAAAAUUCAUGUCAGGUCUACGCUCUUUUAAACGUCGAGUUGCAUAUGCAAAUGCAAACUAUGAUCAUGUUGUUGGGUGGAGAACAUCUUCAAUUCGCCGUCAACAUGAACUUCCAAAGUCUUAUCUUCUUGUGAAGGAUGAGAAGUACCCACAUAUUGUAUAUGUUCAGCGAGAAACUACUGAUGACAUCAAUAAUAGAGCAUCGUCCAAUGUUGGAGGCCAAAAAAUUGACUUGGAAGAGGAGAUGAUUAGAGGUCUCACUCAAGUACCAUGGGAACGUGUGGAUGUGAGCUUUCAAAGAAGUAGGCAACGAUAUAUUGCACACAAUACCAUUCAUAAUGAUGCAGGAACUCUCGCAUAUUUGACACCGUAGAUGGGUGCCGACACGGCUCGUCGCUUCGGGGCGACGACCUAGCCCACCCUCGUCCACUUUUCGCUACACCCGGGUGGUUCAAGUGCAACGUGUCGCUUGUAGGGGACGCUCUAGCAAAUAUUCGGUGAAGACCUACUGGUUGAAUUCUGAUGGAGUUGAUGUGGUGUUCCAUAUGAUUGACAAUUUCCUUCUCUAGACUCAACAAAUGACCCCUCCACUUGGUGAUUUGGCAGUGGCAUAUAUUGCUUGUUCCCCUCGCAUACCCUGCUACCUCAAUCUAAAGUGGAGAAAACUCUGACCUGGGUUGUAAGAUUCUUGAAAGAAUUUCUAGAGUGGAAAGUGGAAAUGGAGAAAAACAGCGAAAGGUCUUCCUAGCCCCUCAUCACAAGCAAUGAGAAAACAAAAAGGCAGGACAGUGAAGAUGAAAUUUUAGAGCCUAAAUGGCAUGAAGCUCUUUUCAGAAGGAAGAGGGUGUGGGUUGUCUGUGAAUUGGGAGGGAGGGAGAAGGUGAAGAGCUCUUCAAAAGAAAAAGGAAUUCCUUAUUUUUUCCCAAAGUGGUAAUUCUUAAAAAUUUCUGCCUAAAAAGAUAGCAUAUGAAAACUCUAGCUGUAUUCAAAAAAUCCGGAUAAGAAAAUACAGCAAUAUUCAAAUUUAAAUGAAGUCCUUGUGUGCAUCAUUGCUCGGAAA